UACGAAGGGGGCUAGCGUUGCUCGGAAUCACUGGGCGUAAAGCGCACGUAGACGGAUUCUUAAGUCAGGGGUGAAAUCCUGGAGCUCAACUCCAGAACUGCCUUUGAUACUGGGAAUCUCGAGUCCGGGAGAGGUGAGUGGAACUGCGAGUGUAGAGGUGAAAUUCGUAGAUAUUCGCAAGAACACCAGUGGCGAAGGCGGCUCACUGGCCCGGUACUGACGCUGAGGUGCGAAAGCGUGGGGAGCAAACAGG
rnacentral:rRNA from 1 species